UGUACGUACGUACACAACACGCUUCUUUCAGUUUCCCUCUACAAAAUCCACUCACAGGUAUUUGAUUGGCCUGGCGCCAUAGCAGGAGACACUUUGCCUAAUGUGCCACACAGUG